UACGAAGGGGGCUAGCGUUGCUCGGAAUUACUGGGCGUAAAGGGCGCGUAGGCGGCACUGUUAGUCAGGCGUGAAAUUCCUGGGCUCAACCUGGGGACUGCGCUUGAUACGGCAGAGCUAGAGGAUGGAAGAGGCUCGCGGAAUUCCCAGUGUAGAGGUGAAAUUCGUAGAUAUUGGGAAGAACACCGGUGGCGAAGGCGGCGAGCUGGUCCAUU
rnacentral:rRNA from 1 species